AGAGUUUGAUCCUGGCUCAGGACGAACGCUGGCGGCGUGCUUAACACAUGCAAGUCGAACGGAAAGGUCUCUUCGGAGAUACUCGAGUGGCGAACGGGUGAGUAACACGUGGGUGAUCUGCCCUGCACUUCGGGAUAAGCCUGGGAAACUGGGUCUAAUACCGGAUAGGACCACGGGAUGCAUGUCUUGUGGUGGAAAGCGCUUUAGCGGUGUGGGAUGAGCCCGCGGCCUAUCAGCUUGUUGGUGGGGUGACGGCCUACCAAGGCGACGACGGGUAGCCGGCCUGAGAGGGUGUCCGGCCACACUGGGACUGAGAUACGGCCCAGACUCCUACGGGAGGCAGCAGUGGGGAAUAUUGCACAAUGGGCGCAAGCCUGAUGCAGCGACGCCGCGUGGGGGAUGACGGCCUUCGGGUUGUAAACCUCUUUCACCAUCGACGAAGGUCCGGGUUCUCUCGGAUUGACGGUAGGUGGAGAAGAAGCACCGGCCAACUACGUGCCAGCAGCCGCGGUAAUACGUAGGGUGCGAGCGUUGUCCGGAAUUACUGGGCGUAAAGAGCUCGUAGGUGGUUUGUCGCGUUGUUCGUGAAAUCUCACGGCUUAACUGUGAGCGUGCGGGCGAUACGGGCAGACUAGAGUACUGCAGGGGAGACUGGAAUUCCUGGUGUAGCGGUGGAAUGCGCAGAUAUCAGGAGGAACACCGGUGGCGAAGGCGGGUCUCUGGGCAGUAACUGACGCUGAGGAGCGAAAGCGUGGGGAGCGAACAGGAUUAGAUACCCUGGUAGUCCACGCCGUAAACGGU
rnacentral:rRNA from 1 species